AGGCUUUCAUCCAACCCCAAAAACAAGAAUGGAUGUUUAGCCUUCAUAUCUUACUCAGCUUCCCACAUAGCCUCUUCUACCUUUUGGCUUCUCCAAAGAACCUUCACCAAAGCUACAUCCUUGGUCCUCAAUCUACUAACCUGCCUAUCUAAUAUCUCAAUCGAAACUUUAUCAGAUGAUAAGAAAUUCGUAACACCAACAUCCUCACUAGGAACUAUCAGGGAACGAUCACCCACACACUUUUUUAGCAUGAACAUAUGAAUGCGGGAUGAAUAGAACACAAACUCGCAGGCAA
rnacentral:lncRNA from 1 species